rnacentral:tRNA from 1 species
GCCACUAUAGCUCAGCAGGUAGAGCGCGUCCUUGGUAAGGACGAGGUCACCGGUUCAAGCCCGGUUAGUGGCUCCA